AACAUUUUACUGCAGAUUAUGAGAGCAAUAUGGAAGAAUUUUCUAGUGCUUGACAUGAAGAUCCAUUGUUGGCAGAGUUGCACAGAGAAGUUUGGUGGAAUUAAAGUGGCAUCACAUUUUCAUAGGAGUAUGACUGCAAGCACCUAAGGUAAGUUAGAAGCCUUACAACAGUUUACAGCAGAUUAUGAAAGCAACGUGGAAGACUUAUCCAGUGCUUGACAUGAAGAUCCAUUGUUUGGCAGAGUUGCACAGAGAAGUUUGGUGGAAUUAAAGUGGCACCACAUUUUCAUAGAAGUAUGAGUGCAAGCGCCAAAGGUAAGUUAGAUGCCUUACAACAUUUUACAGCAUUUCAGCAGGCAUAGUUACGGCUUAACUAUGUGGUUGCAGCUGCAAGCCUGAUUUUUGUAUCCAAUUUUACUUUCAGCUUUGCAUAGUAAUCGAUAGAAUCUUUGCCUGCUUGAUGAAACAUGCUUUCUAUGACCACUUCAUCAUUGCUGCCACAUUUUAUUAAGCUUCAAGCCUUAAUAAUUAUAACAAUGUUGAGUUUCUUCCUCUCCUUACUGUAUGAGAAACUGUGUUGACAUUAUUCUUUGGUUUCUUAUGUUAAUCAUGCAUAAAUAGAUCAAAGAGGUUGUUGCUUAUAUUUUUUGUUUUUGCUUUGAUUUUUCGAACUUUUGUCAAAGAGGUUGAAAAAAUUUGGAAAAUUGUGGAGUUUUACAACUAGAAUUGUGUUUGACAGUCAAAAGAACUGUGUUGAUCAACCACUCAGAUGUCAUGUGAAAAAACUGCUUACGAAAUGGAUAACUUCUAAUCUGAAAUGGUUCCAUUAUAUUCAUACAUAGUGAAUAAUCUCCAAGGACAAGAUAAGUUCAGGAGUGAAAUCCAAGCCUAAAUUAUUCUGAUUUGAGUAAGAUGUGUCAUAAUUUCUGUACAGAGCAGUUACUAGACCUAUGAGAACUGUAAAUCAAAUUGAAUACAAUUUUUUGAUAAACCAAACAAAUGGUGUAAAAUGAGGCAUUAUAAUUAAUAAAUCUGUGUUUGAUAACCAAACAACUGUAAACCAAACAAAUAAAUCUGUGUUUGAUAACCAAACAACUGUAAACCAAACAAAUAAAUCUGUGUUUGAUAAAGAUGAGGCAUUAUAAUUCUGUUUAUUACCUUUUUCUUUUUCUCUGCAAAAUGAACAAAGGUAUCGAAUUUACAUGGCUUUCCAUGAAUAUACUUGGUCCUCUGCAACAUAGAUACACUUCUGGUCCUAAGAUAGGCCUUGAAAAAUGAUGUAAAACGGGAUAUAAUGCAAGUUCUAAAAUUUGGAUAUACUAACAGUAACAAAUGCUUUAUUACAGUGAUAGUGGAGUAGUACCGGUCCUUCUGGAUAAUGGGUCUUCAUUGAAUCCGAAGGUUCUGAUUUAUGAUUAUUUCAGUCUGCUAGAAUUAUCUUCCUGAAUGUGCUUAUUUUUGUAUUUUUGAAUCUAUUUGUGUAUCUAAUCUGUCAAAUACAUACAUGAAUUUAAUUGUACCUAUAUGCUGGCAGCUUGUACAUUACAAUACAUAGUAGAAAUUGCUCUUAUUUACUAUCUAAUUUUGGGCCCCUGUUUGUGAGUACCUAACUGGUAGAGGAAAGUAGGUGGUGCGAUGCAUCCAUUAUCCUUAUGUUAAACGAUAGACUUCUAGAAAGAUCUCAUCGAAAUGGUUGUGAAAUAAGUAAAGAUAAUAUGUGGGUUGUGAUUAUUCUUAAUGUAACUUAUGAUUGCCUUGUUAGUCUAAGUUUGUGGCGUCGACAAUGAUUGUGUUUGGUCUAGUUGUCUGGAUCUGACCAUUCUAGUAAGUUUGGUUUGAAAAAUUUUAACCUAGUAAAGUCUGACCAUUCUUGUAAGGUUGGUUUGAAAAUCUUCAACCUCACAAAGCGACUCUCAUAUUCCAAAUCUAAGUGGAAUUGGGUCCAAUAUUUCUUGUUUGAUUGAGCUCAAGUUACAGCUUUAGUAGACUAAACAGUGCUUCGUAUCUAUUAUGAUCACACAAUACAAUUUAACCCAGACCGUUAUAAAAUGGGAGGUAUAUAUUGGUUUGAGCGUGAACUGGUACACAGAUUGGCCCCCUAUUAGCAGUCUGUCCUUACCUAUUAUAGAAAGAAAAAAGCCUAUUUAAUGCUGGUUUGGGGCUCGUGCUUGCGAGCCCAUUGCAUCGUACUCGUAGAGCCUGCAAGCCAUAAGUCAUUCAUCAAUAAUAUUUUUCGAGAUAUUUUGAUUCCUUUAGCCUUCUUUCUCUUUUAUUUGUGUUUUUCGCUUUGCACUUUCCUAGCAAAAUAUACUACAAACUGAUAUUUAGCUCCAUUUUUUGUCAUUUUAAAACCAACAAAUUAUCUUAUUAAGACUGUAGGUUUUUCAAGAGAGCAUACAUUAUUGGAGUUGAAUGUAAAGGUACUGAAGAUGAUACCUCACUAUUGAUGAAUCACUUGAAGAUUGCACAGUUAGCAGAUGCAACUGGACUUUCUGUUGGUGGCUCUGCUUAUCUAAAGUAUGUUUCUUUUAUCCCCAUUGAACAUGAUGCAGUGAUUAGUUCUAUGGUUCCUCUAAAUGUGCAUUAAUAUAGGUAUGGAAUCUAGGAGUAUAUUAUUACAUUGGCU
rnacentral:lncRNA from 1 species